GACUGAAAUGGAAACUGAAAGCGAAUCUUCUUGAACUUUGUACCCUCAGCUACAGCAUUUUGAGAAUUUUGAAAUAAUAUUUUAAUAAUGUCAAGGAUGAAAUAAAAUCUUUUAAAUUUCAUUCAUUAAACAUUUUUUGUCUAAUACAUUUUCUUGUGUAGGUUCUAACGCUUUGAAACUAUGGUUUGGCCCAAUUACAUGGGACAUUCUAUGUAACGCGAGUUAUACGCUUGAUGUAGGUCGUGCCUGUUCGAUUCGAGAUAGAAAAUUGCAAAUGCAACGAAGCGUCAAAGCACAAAUACGUUUUCGAAGCUAGAUAACGCAAAUUAAACAGAAAUUAAGGUAUGAUUGAAUUUAGCUGAAGAAGCAAUACAUUUUGAACUUACGCAAUACUCAUAAGGAAGUACAAUACGGAAGAAAGAGUUUGACCGAUUGUAACCAACACAGUGAAUAAUGCAACAUUUGUUUCCUUAUUAUAAAAAGUAAUCGAUUUUGUUACAACAUAUGAUAGUAUCAAAAUAACGUGAACGUGGAAUUUGAGCAGCUGUGUAGUUUUAAGAUAAUCCUAAAAGUAAUCGUAAUAGAAGUCAAAGCUUUCAAUCUUUUAGUAUAUUUUUAACAUAAUACCUAGUUUUAUAUUUUUAACAUAAAGCUUAGUUUUUAAAGCCAAAGGGCUAUUAUUUAAUACAAAUUAAUCAACGUUGGCGAUUUAAAUUGGCU
rnacentral:misc_RNA from 1 species